rnacentral:rRNA from 1 species
UACGUAGGCAGCAAGCGUUGUUCGGAAUUACUGGGCGUAAAGAGUGUGUAGGCGGUGCUCCAAGUCUGGUGUGAAAUCUCCCGGCUUAACUGGGAGGGUGCAUUAGAAACUGGAAUGCUAGAGGAUGGGAGAGGUAAGCGGAAUUCCUGGUGUAGCGGUGAAAUGCGUAGAUAUCAGGAGAACACCUGUGGUGUAGACAGCUUACUGGACCAUUUCUGACGCUGAGACACGAAAGCGUGGGUAGCAAACAGG